UACAGAGGUCUCAAGCGUUGUUCGGAUUCAUUGGGCGUAAAGGGUGCGUAGGUGGCGGGGCCAGUCAGGUGUGAAAUCCCGGGGCUUAACCCUGGAACUGCAUUUGAUACUGCCUUGCUGGAGAACUGGAGAGGAGACUGGAAUUUACGGUGUAGCGGUGAAAUGCGUAGAUAUCGUAAGGAAGACCAGUGGCGAAGGCGGGUCUCUGGACAGUUCCUGACGCUGAGGCACGAAGGCCAGGGGGAGCAAACGGG
rnacentral:rRNA from 1 species